AUCCUCUGGUAGUUUGUAAGUGUGAUGAUUGAGUAUUCACAUGCAUGUGUGAGAUGUGUCACUCCCAAACCUUAUUGCAACAUGGGCACAUUACCCAUCUGACA